rnacentral:rRNA from 1 species
GAUGAACGCUGGCGGCGUGCCUAAUACAUGCAAGUCGAGCGAACAGAUGAGGAGCUUGCUCCUCUGACGUUAGCGGCGGACGGGUGAGUAACACGUGGAUAACCUACCUAUAAGACUGGGAUAACUUCGGGAAACCGGAGCUAAUACCGGAUAAUAUAUUGAACCGCAUGGUUCAAUAGUGAAAGACGGUUUUGCUGUCACUUAUAGAUGGAUCCGCGCCGCAUUAGCUAGUUGGUAAGGUAACGGCUUACCAAGGCAACGAUGCGUAGCCGACCUGAGAGGGUGAUCGGCCACACUGGAACUGAGACACGGUCCAGACUCCUACGGGAGGCAGCAGUAGGGAAUCUUCCGCAAUGGGCGAAAGCCUGACGGAGCAACGCCGCGUGAGUGAUGAAGGUCUGCGGAUCGUAAAACUCUGUUAUUAGGGAAGAACAAAUGUGUAAGUAACGAUGCACGUCUUGACGGUACCUAUCAGAAAGCCACGGCUAACUACGCG